UACGUAGGGGCCUAGCGUUGUCCGGAAUUAUUGGGCGUAAAGAGCUCGUAGGCGGUUCGGCAAGUCGGAUGUGAAAUCUCCACGCUUAACGUGGAGGGGCCAUUCGAAACUGCUGUGACUCGAGUCCGGUAGGGGAGUGUGGAGUUCCCGGUGUAGCGGUGAAAUGCGCAGAUAUCGGGAAGAACACCCGUGGCGAAGGCGGCACUCUGGGACGGUACUGACGCUGAGACGCGAAAGCGUGGGGAGCGAACAGG
rnacentral:rRNA from 1 species